GAGAGAGACGGGCGCCGGGCACGUCGUCGUGUCAGAGAUGUAACCGCACGGGGCUCAAGCCGAGGCAGGUUAGACACGAGGGGAUGGAAGCAGAAGGAUCUGGAACAUUCGAAGCUGUUGGCAGCUGUACCCUGUCAUGCAAGACCCAGGAGGAUGCCAUUUCCUUUGCCAAGAAGCAUGCCCUUAACAGCAGGCUGUGUGCCAGCAAAAGGGAAAACGUGUUGCAUUGCCUAAAUCAAAGAGUUUACAGAUGUAGGUGAAUGCAGAGACAGCUUGACUCGGCUCUCUUGAAACACAGAAAGAAAGGUUUCUCAGUACCUCCUGCCAGCUGAGCAGACAGGAUUGUGAUUGUUGUCAGGAGAGAAGGAAACCUGCCUGCUUCCCUGCUGGUUAGGAACAGUUCCAAAACCAGCUGCUGUCCAGUCAGCCAAUAAGAGGAAGAAAAUCCCGAGGGCUAGAAAACACUGGACUCAUUUAUGCUAUGAAAAUGGAAAAUGGCCAGGAGACAAUCCAGGUGGAGUGUGACUACUUAACACCGCUACUGAACAAUGGUUCAUUGCCUAGAGUUGAAACUAAAAAUGGAGUUAACCACUGCAUUUUGAACCACCUGGUAUAUCUGUGAUAACGUCAUGAUCAAAGAGUGUGCAAAACUAAAGCCUCAUGCUUUAUAGCUGUCUUCAUAACUGUCUUUAUGAAUUAAGCUCUUACUCUUCUGAAAAAGGUACCAGAUUAUCUCAGCAAAAUCUACAUUCUGUAAACCCAUCAGUUGACACUGCUUGCUUUUUUCCCCCAAAUGCAGAACUGAGGUAUUUAUUGAAACUCCUGAAGUCCACUGCCAACCCCUGCCCACCUUAUGCUUUACACUGUGCCCAGGCAGAAAUCCCAGGAAACCUUGCGUCAAACCUGAGAGAGUCUUAAAAAAGCCCUUUGAAGUGUUUCCUAACAAGAACACAGUUAUGUUGGUUGAAGCUUCUCACCUGCCUGCAUCACUGACAGCACUUUUACCAAUCCUAUAUAGCAACUAAUAUGUUAUUAAAACGCCUUUGUUCCUAUAA